rnacentral:lncRNA from 1 species
CUGGCCUGGGAGGGAUUUUUCUUUUUGUAAACUUAGCUGUUUGUCCCUACCCCUUUCCACACUGAACUUCCUUAACUCUGUUGUUGUCAUGUGUAAGCUAGGUAGUGGGAUAUUCUGUGGGAAUUGUUGGAGCUACGCCCUAAAUUCUGCUUAUCCUACGUCUACAGGACCUUGGUGUUCCCAUCUGAUUGGCUCUUGGUUCAAAGACCAAUCCGGUUUAGCCAUGCCUUGCUCCAACUCUCCGGGGGUUUCCUGAGUUUCCAUUGCCCACAGGACAGAGCCAGACAUGGUUCAGUGCCUGGCAUCCCCAGGGAGUGUGUUUGGUGAGUAGUUGAAGCAAGUGAGCAAAAGACAGUUCUGCAGAGAGAUU